rnacentral:rRNA from 1 species
UGCCUUAUGGUGGGGGACAACAGUUGGAAACGACUGCUAAUACCGCAUGAUGUCUACGGACCAAAGUGGGGGACCUUCGGGCCUCACGCCAUAAGAUUAGCCCAAGUGGGAUUAGCUAGUUGGUGAGGUAAUGGCUCACCAAGGCGACGAUCCCUAGCUGGUUUGAGAGGAUGAUCAGCCACACUGGGACUGAGACACGGCCCAGACUCCUACGGGAGGCAGCAGUGGGGAAUAUUGCACAAUGGGCGCAAGCCUGAUGCAGCCAUGCCGCGUGUGUGAAGAAGGCCUUCGGGUUGUAAAGCACUUUCAGUAAGGAGGAAAGGUUAAGUGUUAAUAGCACUUAGCUGUGACGUUACUUACAGAAGAAGCACCGGCUAACUCCGUGCCAGCAGCCGCGGUAAUACGGAGGGUGCGAGCGUUAAUCGGAAUUACUGGGCGUAAAGCGUACGCAGGCGGUUUGUUAAGCGAGAUGUGAAAGCCCCGGGCUCAACCUGGGAACUGCAUUUCGAACUGGCAAACUAGAGUGUGAUAGAGGGUGGUAGAAUUUCAGGUGUAGCGGUGAAAUGCGUAGAGAUCUGAAGGAAUACCGAUGGCGAAGGCAGCCACCUGGUCAACACUGACGCUCA